AUCCAGCUGACGAAUCCCAAAUAGAACGAACCGCUCACCCUGGAU
rfam:Schistosoma rodhaini strain Burundi genome assembly, scaffold: SROB_scaffold0010348